AUUUAUGUUGUACUCAUACAUGUGCAGGAGAGCCCAGAUCAAAGGAACUGAGCAAUGCUACUAAUCGACUCCGAUGUGUAUGGUCUGUCAUUUUGUAACAAGUGGCCACUACUUUUGUUUUUUAUAAUGGAUUCGCAGAUAUGCAGAUGCUAUAAUUUACAAGACCCACCAUACCGAGAGCAGAUAUGCUGGCCAGAUUGGGGUGCCCUCAUCCCCACCACUACAAUGAGGUUUAUGCUGAGAUCUCAAAAAAGAAAAAGAAAAAGAAAAAUGAGGCUGAUGCUAAAGUUCGCAGAGGAAGUUUUCUUUCUCCAUCAACACUUCACUUCCUAACGAGUUGGAAUAAAUCACCAGACGAUUCCGAUCAGAAACUACAGAUACGGCUAGUGGAACUGUCACCAAAUCACUCAAAUUGAAGUCGUGGAAGGUGAGCUCCAAUAAAAUCCAUUACUUA